UACGUAGGGGGCUAGCGUUGUCCGGAUUUAUUGGGCGUAAAGAGCGUGUAGGCGGCCAGGUAGGUCUGCUGUGAAAACUCGAGGCUCAACCUCGAGACGUCGGCGGAAACCAUCUGGCUAGAGUCCGGAAGAGGAGAGUGGAAUUCCUGGUGUAGCGGUGAAAUGCGCAGAUAUCAGGAAGAACACCCGUGGCGAAGGCGGUUCUCUAGUACGGUACUGACGCUGAGACGCGAAAGCGUGGGGAGCAAACAGG
rnacentral:rRNA from 1 species